ensembl:snRNA U6 U6 spliceosomal RNA
ACAUUCAUUUAGCAGCACAUAUACUGAACACAGAACAAUACAGAGGAGAUUGGCAUGGACUCUGUGCAUAGAUGACAUGUAAGUUCAUAAAGUCCCUUAUAAAAAAUAUUU